AUGGACGAAAGUCUGACGGAGCAACGCCGCGUGAGCGAAGAAGGUCUUCGGAUCGUAAAGCUCUGUUGUUAGGGAAGAACAAGUACCGUUCAAAUAGGGCGGUACCUUGACGGUACCUAACCAGAAAGCCACGGCUAACUACGUGCCAGCAGCCGCGGUAAUACGUAGGUGGCAAGCGUUAUCCGGAAUUAUUGGGCGUAAAGCGCGCGCAGGCGGUCCUUUAAGUCUGAUGUGAAAGCCCACGGCUCAACCGUGGAGGGUCAUUGGAAACUGGGGGACUUGAGUGCAGAAGAGGAGAGCGGAAUUCCACGUGUAGCGGUGAAAUGCGUAGAGAUGUGGAGGAACACCAGUGGCGAAGGCGGCUCUCUGGUCUGUAACUGACGCUGAGGCGCGAAAGCGUGGGGAGCGAACAGGAUUAG
rnacentral:rRNA from 1 species